UACUUCUUGCGAACCACACCAAUGAUGUUC
rnacentral:piRNA from 1 species